CCGGUCCUCGGUAGUGGCUUACGGGGGGUUCGCCCCCGUGGGCUUCGAUCGAUGGCCGG
rnacentral:ncRNA from 1 species